AUUGAACGCUGGCGGCAUGCCUUACACAUGCAAGUCGAACGGUAACAGGUCUUCGGAUGCUGACGAGUGGCGAACGGGUGAGUAAUACAUCGGAACGUGCCCGAUCGUGGGGGAUAACGCAGCGAAAGCUGUGCUAAUACCGCAUACGAUCUACGGAUGAAAGCGGGGGAUCGCAAGACCUCGCGCGGACGGAGCGGCCGAUGGCAGAUUAGGUAGUUGGUGGGAUAAAAGCUUACCAAGCCGACGAUCUGUAGCUGGUCUGAGAGGACGACCAGCCACACUGGGACUGAGACACGGCCCAGACUCCUACGGGAGGCAGCAGUGGGGAAUUUUGGACAAUGGGCGCAAGCCUGAUCCAGCCAUGCCGCGUGCAGGAUGAAGGCCUUCGGUUGUAAACUGCUUUUGUACGGAACGAAAAGACUCUCUCUAAUACAGGGGUGGAAUGACGGUACCGUAAGAAUAAGCACCGGCUAACUACGUGCCAGC
rnacentral:rRNA from 1 species